rnacentral:tRNA from 1 species
GGUUAACUAGUUUAUAUUUAAAAUAUUAAAUUGCAAAUUUAAAGAGAGUCGUGACUGUUAGCUU